rnacentral:rRNA from 1 species
GACGAACGCUGGCGGCGUGCCUAAUACAUGCAAGUUGAGCGCUGAAGGUUGGUACUUGUACCACCUGGAUGAGCAGCGAACGGGUGAGUAACGCGUGGGGAAUCUGCCUUUGAGCGGGGGACAACAUUUGGAAACGAAUGCUAAUACCGCAUAAAAACUUUAAACACAAGUUUUAAGUUUGAAAGAUGCAAUUGCAUCACUCAAAGAUGAUCCCGCGUUGUGUUAGCUAGUUGGUGAGGUAAAGGCUCAACAAGGCGAUGAUACAUAGCCGACCUGAGAGGGUGAUCGGCCACAUUGGGACUGAGACACGGCCCAAACUCCUACGGGAGGCAGCAGGAGGGAAUCUUCGGCAAUGGACGAAAGUCUUACCGAGCAAAGCCGCGUGAGUGAAGAAGGUUCUCGGAUCGUAAAACUCUGUUGGUAGAGAAGAACGUUGGUGCGAGUGGAAAGCUCAUCAAGUGACGGUAACUAACCAGAAAGGGACGGCUAACUACGUG